AACCAUCGCCUUCACUUGUUUCAGGAGGAAAAAAAAAUAAUAAUAAUGAACCUGAUUGUAACCAAAUCUCCAGGCAACCCAUCCGCAAACUUCUAACGAUCGGGAUCCUGCACAUCCAUGGCCCGGAGAAACACCAGCAGACUUUAGCUCAUUUAUUUUAUUUUAUUUUAUCUUAUUUUAUUUUAUUUUACUGAAUUACUACCCAUUUAUUCCUCCUUCUCUCUCUCCUUUCACCUCCUUCCCUCUUUUUUUUAAUGAAAAUUACCGAAGCGCGUUGCAAAAAAAAAGGAGGCUCUCCCAUUGCUUUGUGCCACACUGGAUCCCGAGGAGUCACUCUGGUCUACUGAGACAGAUUAACUUUCUACAGAACCUUUCAUGUCACCAGUCCACUGCUGAGGGACUCACAUAGGCCACUACAAUGCCUGUUCUCAUAACUUGCCCAGAAGCUCAAAGAUGAAUUCUAGGAAAACCCUUUCGCACUUUGACAGAGUUGGGUGUUUUGAAUUCAACCAUGGAAGUAUCAUUUUGACUAAUGUUGGUAUGUGCAUUCAGUUGUAAAAUGGGAUCUUUCCCAUUUUGCUCCAGUGGAAAAUGUAUCUACAGUUUGUAAUUUGAUAUAGAAGUAUUUGGUCAAAAAUGAUAUGUCCACUAGUAUAUUUUUAUGAUAUGGGGCCUUACUUUUUUUUCUAUUGGGGGAAAGCGUGUGUUUGUUUUUCAGGUAGAGAGAGGCUUGAAAGAUAACAUGUCACUGGUUUAUUUUCAUCACUUUGUAUCUACAUGCUUGCAUGCGUAAGUGCAUAUGCAUACAUACAUGCACCUUUGCAGGGUAUCAGUGUGAAAAGGGGAAUGAAAAAGGAUAGAAAGGAGGAUUCUAAUUUCACUUUUAGUUAUACCAGCAAAUAGCAAAUUUGUAGUAGCUUUAAUUGUAGUGUCAUCAGUGUAAUUGCUAGUUACUGCAGUGCUUGGUAGCCUUCUAUAGGCUCUAGUUCCAAUUACACUACGUGUUCUUUCCACCAUGGAUCUAUGGUGGAAAUUACUGCACCAAUGGCAUUUCUCUUUUAAAGUAACAAUGGAAUAUUUUCAUUUAUUUCAAAACAAGUUAGAUAUGAUCAGCUAUUCAUCUUGAUUUCGUAGGCUUAAAGGAUGGUUAACUGGGGUUGAGAUGGGAUAAGGGCUAUGCAGGUUAUUAGUAGUAAGUUUAGAGAAGUGUAAUGAGAUGCAAAAAUGUGUGAAACAGAGGAGAGAUCAAGGAAGAAAGGUAUUACCAAAUAAUGUUCUGGAAAAAGGAGUAAGAUAAAACAUAACUUGUUGUCAAUUCUGUAUUGCAGUAGUACAACAGAUCAUUGGUAUUCCUCUUAACAGGGUCCUUUAUGUAUUUUGGUUACUGUUAGAGUAUCACAAGUUACAAAUUUGUCAGCAUACCUGCCUGAGAAAAAGGAACAUUUCUGUGUUAGAAUAUCUGCCUAGAUUUAAAGUAUUCAGCAAGGCAAUCACCUUGCUGCCUUACGGCAGAAGAACUUAUUAAUGUUGGCCAUUGUGAGUUCUGGCGCCUCUUCACUUGGAGAGCAGGCUCUGUUAGCCUUUCUACUUCAAAGCUAUAUUGUCACUGCAGGUAAAUAAAUCACAGACUCCCUUAUUCUUCA
ensembl:lncRNA